rnacentral:rRNA from 1 species
GAUGAACGCUGGCGGCGUGCCUAAUACAUGCAAGUCGAGCGAACGGACGAGAAGCUUGCUUCUCUGAUGUUAGCGGCGGACGGGUGAGUAACACGUGGAUAACCUACCUAUAAGACUGGGAUAACUUCGGGAAACCGUAGCUAAUACCGGAUAAUAUUUUGAACCGCAUGGUUCAAAAGUGAAAGACGGUCUUUCUGUCACUUAUAGAUGGAUCCGCGCUGCAUUAGCUAGUUGGUAAGGUAACGGCUUACCAAGGCAACGAUGGAUAGCCGACCUGAUGGGGAGGUGGACCACACGGGAAGUGAGACAGGGCCCAGACUCUGGGGGGGGGAAGCAGACGGAACUCUUCCGGAAGGCGAGAAAGCGGAACGGUGCACCAUCGGGGGAGUGAUGAAGUUGUCAGGCCGUUAAAAUUCUGUAGUUCGGAAAAAAAAUAUGUGCAUGCACCUGGGACAAUCUUGACGGUACCUAAUAAAAAAGCCCCGGCUAACUACGUG